AUAUACCUACUGUUACAUUUUGUUAAUCAUGUUUUUAUUUGAAUUCCUUGCUGUUGACUUUAUUGUGGUGUUAUGUAAAUAUGAUUUAUUUAUCAGUGCCUCUGUUAAUCGAGAAAUAAGAGAUCCAGUCAAUCCUAGACGCUCUCAGAGCUCACGCGAUUCUGGCCGUCCGAUUCAUUUACUUGAUGCGUUUCCGGGCGUCCGAUCGAGCCCUCGGAUGAUCUGGGCCGCCGGAUCAUAACCGAGCCCCUGUAGCAAUGAACAGUUUCACUUCGCGGUAAAUAUCUGCUGCCACCGCCGGUUAAUACAGCACCCCGCCGAGGGCAAUUUUGGGAUUUCACCUAGGCCGGUGGAACGUGCCCUCUCCCGAUUCGCCGCCCUCUCCCCAAUCGAAGAGACGCGUAGGGUUUGACCUCUCCUCGCUUCUUUCCCGCAUGUCUCUCUCUUUCUCUCGCAGUCGUCGUCGCCGCCAGCCAUCCUCCCCAUCGCCCCCUUUCCCCGCCCGUCCCGCUCGCCGUGGCCUUCGCCGAUGACCGCGGCCCUGCGCAGCACAGUGCCGAGCUCAUGAGAAUGAGAGGAGAGGAGCCGCCACCCAACCCAACCCAUCCAACCAAGGAGCCCGUCCCAUCCCACUCCCCACGACGUCUCCCCUCCCAUCUCUCUCGCACCCACCUCGCCGCCGGCCAUGGCCGCCCUCAUCCUCUCCUCCCCUCCCCUCCCCUCCUCUCCUCCUCCCCCGUCAUCAGAAGAGAAGACAAGACGAGAUGGAGGGAGAUCCACCGCGACUCAGCUGGUCAGGCGGCGCGCCCAGAUCCGGCCUUGCUCUGGCCAUCGCCGAUGAGCUGCGCCCAGUUCAGCCAUGGCGCGACCGAGCAGGCGAGGAGGGAGACUAGCUAGGAGUCCCCCCUCUCUCUCUCGGGGGGCGCCGCCCUUCAUCUGCUCCCGCGAUGGCGCCGGAUCCACAUCCACAGCCACGGCGCCGGCACCCAUGGAGUGACCGUGUGCUUCUUCUCCAUGGACAUGGAGCUCCCACAACACACCAUGGAAGGCCUGGAGCUCCUUCUCACAGCAGGUGCACCGCGUACAGGAGGGAAGACCAACGCUCCUCCGGGUCUGCUUCUUCCCGGGUCGCCGUUGCUCCACGGAAGGCGGAAAGUCAUAGAAGAUGGUUCAUUAGCUUCAAACAGAUCAGUGGUUACUGAAUCAGUCUCAAAAUCUUGUUCCUCCGCAGAAGUGAAAGAUGAAGAUGCUGCAAUUGCAGUUGUGAUUGAUGCAGCUGAACUUAAAUGGGGAGAGCAGUCAUUUAGGAGAGGACAAGCUCCUGGAAGGUUUACAUCAGGACGCCAUAAUGGCCAUGGAUCAUCAGAAAGGGAGGCACCUCCACCCGGCUAUGUGUGCCGCAGCUGCGGAGUUCCAGGCCAUUUCAUUCAACAUUGCCCACAGGAAAACCAGAUGCCUCCACCUGGCUAUACCUGCUACAGAUGCCGGGUUCCAGGGCAUUUUAUUCAGCAUUGCCCAACCAUUGGCGGUUCCAAGGCAGUUUAUAUUUACUGUGAUACUCUGAACAUGAGGACCAUGUGGACUAAACUUGCAUCUGGGUGCACCAAGGAGAAGGUCCCACUUAUCAAGGGAUAACAACUAAUUGGUCAGACUUUGUGAAGACAGGGGUUGGAUAAUUUGGAGAAUGUCUUCGCAUUCAAGGCUAAAAGGGGCAAAGCGUCGCUCGUUGUCUACCUGUUUUGACAAGGAAGCUGAAGGUGUUACCAUUCAUGGACAUGGAACAGAAGCUGCCCGGAUAUUGUGACAACAAAUGGAGGUUAAAUCGGGAAGCGAAAGCCAGGUUGGAUACGACCGCAUCGGCAGGGGUGCAGGUUGCGGCAAGCCGCAGCUUCCAUCUAGUCAUAUAGAUUGUCCAGAGUGCGAAGCAGAUCAGAAUUAAUCGUUAGGGUACUUCAACAUCGUUCAAGGCAAGUUUGCACUUUUGAUUUUGCUCAUUGUAUAUUAUGCUAUGCAUGUGUGAUUUUAAGCUAUGGUAAACGUUUGGCCUGAUAUGUGUAUCUCAUGUUGUCAUGUUUGGUAUUGAUUGUGUUAUGUGAUGGUGUGAUCAACUUGCUAUGGUAGACGUGGGCAUGUGUCGAGUGAUCCAUGAUAGUGGUGAGUGUUUAUAGAUGUAGGCUUGGGAUUAUUAAAUAGGUGAAUGCGUCAUUGGCAGAGCGCUCUAUUGUCCCUAGAGAAUGCAUCAUUGACAGAGCACACUUGAGGCGAGGUAUAGUUUUUGGAACUUAAAUCUGGUGAAUGCGUCCUUGGCAGAAUCCCUCUCUCCCGUGCCGUUUCGCCUCGUUCAGAUCUCAAGGGAGUUCACCGCCCUCUGAAGCUUCUGUCGGUCGAUUGCAUCGCUUUUGGAGGUUCCCAGCUUCUCCUCCUGCCCCCUCUCUCCCGUGUUGUUUCGCCUCGUUCAGAUAUCGUCGGAGUUCGCCGCCGUCUGAAGCAUCCAUCGGUUGAUUGCAUCGCCUCUGGAGGGAAACACUACACUGAGUCCAUCGAGCUCGUUCGGAGCUCAACUCCGCUGCCGCCGCUCCAGCCGGUUGCCACCGUUGGGGGAGCAAGCCCCAUUCACCCCUGCGGACGUGUUUGAGUUCACCGACGCCCACGACACCUUGUCCUGCCUUCCUAGAGUCUCGGAGGUCCUUGUAACUGCCGCCAGCUUCAAAUCCAAGCCGCCCUAUGGUCGUCGUCUUCCUCAAGUCCGGAGGCCAGCCCCAGUUUCUCCGGAUUUUCAGAUGAUCAGUGAGAAGGGUUGCGAGUCUUCACUCAGCAUUUCGCCAGUGGGCCUUGAUGGGAUUCAUUGUUUGCUUAUGCUACAUUUCCGCUGUUAUUAUUAAGUAAAGUUAGUUAUGUACUAUGAGUUUGUAAUACUUUAUGAAUUAUGGAUCAUAGGUUAUAGUAAAUGAUGCACUUGUUACUUUGAUA